GAUGAAGAACGUAGCGAAAUGCGAUAAGUAAUGUGAAUUGCAGAAUUCAGUGAAUCAUCGAAUCUUUGAACGCACCUUGCGCCCUUUGGCCAUUCCGAAGGGCAUGCCUGUUUGAGUAUCAUGAACACCUCAACUCUUUAUGGUUUUCCAUGAUGAGCUUGGACUCUGGGGGUUUUGCUGGCUCACAGUCGGCUCCUCUAAAAUGAAUCAGCUUACCAGUGUUUGGUGGGUAUCAUGGGUGUGAUAACUAUCUACGCUUGUGGUUUUUCCACCAGGUAACCUUCAGCAGUGGAGGUUCGCUGGAGCUCAUAGAUGUCUCUCCUCAGUGAGGACAGCCCUUUGAAUGUUUGAUCUCAAAUCAGGUAGGACUACCCGCUGAACUUGAGCAUAUCAAUAAGCGGAGGA
rnacentral:misc_RNA from 1 species